rnacentral:rRNA from 1 species
UACGUAGGGUCCGAGCGUUGUCCGGAAUUACUGGGCGUAAAGAGCUCGUAGGUGGUUUGUCGCGUUGUUCGUGAAAACUCACAGCUCAACUGUGGGCGUGCGGGCGAUACGGGCAGACUAGAGUACUGCAGGGGAGACUGGAAUUCCUGGUGUAGCGGUGAAAUGCGCAGAUAUCAGGAGGAACACCGGUGGCGAAGGCGGGUCUCUGGGCCAUAACUGACGCUGAGGAGCGAAAGCGUGGGGAGCAAACAGG